rnacentral:rRNA from 1 species
ACUCUGCGGUUUACCUCAUAAACGUGGUAACUGGGGCUAAUACCAGAUAGGCGUGGAGGCCUGGAAUGGUUCCACACCUAAAUGCGAUACGACCAUGUUCGUAUCGUGCCCGAGGAUGGGGCUGCGGCCGAUCAGGCAGUUGGCGAGGUAACGGCUCACCAAACCAUUGACCGGUACGGGCCAUGAGAGUGGGAGCCCGGAGAUGGGCACUGAGACAGGGGCCCAGGCCCUACGGGGCGCAGCAGGCGCGAAACCUCCACAAUGUACGGAAGUACGAUGGGGUUACCUUGAGUGCAGUCCGAUUAGGGCUGCUUUUCCAUAGAGUAAUAUCCUGUGGGAAUAAGAGGGGGGCAAGACUGGUGUCAGCCGCCGCGGUAACACCAGCCCCUCGAGUGGUGGGGACUUUUAUUUGGCCUAAAGCGUCCGUAGCCGGCUGUGUCCGUUAUCCGUUAAAUCCGGCGUCCUAAGCGUCGGACUGCGGGUGAUACCACACAGCUAGAGGGUGGGAUAGGUAAGCGGUAUUUCUGGGGUAGGGGCGAAAUCCUUUGAUCCCAGGAGGACCACCAGUGGCGAAGGCUGCUUACUAGAACACGCCUGACGGUCAGGGACGAAAGCUGGGGUAGCGAACCGGAUUAGAUACCCGGGUAGUCCCAGCUGUAAACGAUGCGCGCUAGGUGUUGGGUCGGCCACGCGCCGCCCCAGUGCCGCAGGGAAGCCGUUAAGCGCGCCGCCUGGGGAGUACGGCCGCAAGGCUGAAACUUAAAGGAAUUGGCGGGGGAGCAC